AGACGUUUGAUCAUGGCUCAGUGAUGAACGCUAGCGGCAGGCUUAAUACAUGCAAGUCGUGGGGCAGCAGCUCUGUAGCAAUACAGAGUGCUGGCGACCGGCAAACGGGUGCGGAACACGUACGCAACUUACCCAUAACUGAUGAAUAGCCCUCCGAAAGGAGGAUUAAUGCAUCGUAACAUAAUGAAAGGGCAUCCUUUUAUUAUUAUAGCUCCGGCGGAUUUUGGAUGGGCGUGCAGGCUAGAUUAAGGUAGUUGGCGGAGUAAUAGCCCACCAAGCCUACAGAUCACGUAACUGGUGUAGAGAGCACGACCAGUCACACGGGCACUGAGACACGGGCCCGACUCCUACGGGAGCGCAGCAGUAAGGAAUAUUGGUCAAUGGACGCAAGUCUGAACCAGCCAUGCCGCGUAGAAGGAUAGAAUGGUCCUCUGGAUUGUAAACUUCUUAUAUAUAUGGGACGAAACCCUCUUAUUCUUGAGAGACUGACGGUACCAUACGAAU
rnacentral:rRNA from 1 species